AACUUUCUGUGCCACAAUUUCUGCCCCUUGCCUCGUGUCCCAUUGCUCAGCACCACCAAGAAGAGCCUGGCUCCG